rnacentral:rRNA from 1 species
GAUGAACGCUGGCGGCGUGCCUAAUACAUGCAAGUCGAGCGAACAGACGAGGAGCUUGCUCCUCUGACGUUAGCGGCGGACGGGUGAGUAACACGUGGAUAACCUACCUAUAAGACUGGGAUAACUUCGGGAAACCGGAGCUAAUACCGGAUAAUAUAUUGAACCGCAUGGUUCAAUAGUGAAAGACGGUUUUGCUGUCACUUAUAGAUGGAUCCGCGCCGCAUUAGCUAGUUGGUAAGGUAACGGCUUACCAAGGCAACGAUGCGUAGCCGCCCUGCGAGGGUGAUCGGCCACACUGGAACUGAGGAACGGUCCAGACUCCUACGGGAGGCAGCAGUAGGGAAUCUUCCGCAAUGGGCGAAAGCCUGACGGAGCAACGACGCGUGAGUGAUGAAGGUCUUCGGAUCGUAAAACUCUGUUAUUAGGGAAGAACAAAUGUGUAAGUAACUAUGCACGUCUUGACGGUACCUAAUCAGAAAGCCACGGCUAACUACGUGCCAGCAGCCGCCGCAG